UACAGAGGUCUCGAGCGUUAGGCGGAAUCACUGGGCUUAAAGCGUGUGUAGGCGGAUCGGUAAGUACCUUGUGAAAUCCCACAGCUUAGCUGUGGAACUGCUUGGUAUACUGCCAGUCUUGAGCCACUUAGGGGCUACCGGAACAAAUGGUGGAGCGGUGAAAUGCGUAGAUAUCAUUUGGAACGCCAAUGGUGAAAACAGGUAGCUGGGAGUGUGCUGACGCUGAGACACGAAAGCCAGGGGAGCAAACGGG
rnacentral:rRNA from 1 species